UAGCUAGUUACAUGUUUCAGGGUUUUGUGAAUAUAAUGGGGAGAGAUAGGAACAAUAUGCUAUAUGGGCGAGUAUAUUGAAAACUGAUUAGAUAAUGUUGACUUGUUAUCUGAAGACUAGCUAGCAGAAGCCAUAUUGCAUGAUUGAUUUUAUUUAUUUUAUUAUGGUGACAUGCAUCUUCUCACGGAUCCCCAGCCCACAUGAGCUUAUAAAACACUAUUUGCUGUAGCAAAGUAAAAUGAUAUAUACACACACAGUGCCUUCAGAAAGUACUCCUAACGUUACCCCUUGACUUAUUCCACAUUUUGUGUUACAGCCUGAAUUCAAAAUUAUUUCAAUUGUUCUCACCCAUCAACACAGAAUACUCCAUAAUGACAAAGUGAAAACAUGUUUUUAGAAAUGAACAAAUGUAUUCAAUUAAAUACAGAUAUCUAAUUUACAUAAGUAUUCCCACCCCCGAGUCAACACAUGUUAGAAUCACCUUUGGCAGUGAUUACCGCUGUCUUUCUGGGUAAAUCUUUCUCUGCAGACAUGGAUUGUACAAUAUUUACAAAUUUUUAAAUUCUUCAAACUUUUAAGUUGGUAAUUGCUAGACAGUCAUUUAAGUAUUGCCAUAUAUUUCCCAGCCGAUUUAAGUCCAAACUGUAAUACGGUUGAUGUCAACACCCCUCAUCGCUGUCUUAAAAUAACGAGAUGUAUCUACUAAUCCAAAGAGGAACAGGCGGGAGCUUGACAGCUAAACAUGGAGGUGUCUUCUCUGCUUACAGAUGUGUGCCAUCAGCUGCGCAGUGCAGUGCACCUUGUCUCCCCGUCUCUUCCGCUUGCAGCAAGAAAGGACCAGUCUUACAUUUUGCUAGUAAAGGCAGGGGGAAAGCAUUGCAGUCUACAAGGUAUGCUAUAGCUGAGUAACUCUGAGUUUUGUGUUUGACUUAAAAAAAAAAAUUAAGAUAAAGAGAGAAACUGCUCUGAUUCUCCUCUGUCUCUGUUGACGGUAUUGAUGGCCGGUGUACCAUUCUGUGGGUGGACGGCCAAGAGAAAUUGAGGCCCCCACGCCCGGACUGAGGGAGGAGGCAGGCGGCAUGGAGGAGGACGUGGAGAGCAACGUCAGCAACAUCAGAACUUUUCUGGAAAAAAAGAAACACACAACUGAAAUUAUGUGACAGAAUUGAUCAAAAAUGGAGAUCGAAAGACACCCACAAGGGGGGAGAUUACAUAAUUCAUGCAGAUCCACAAAAGUGGCAUCCUGACAUUUUACUAAAAGUCAAAUUCAUAAACAUUGUGUAGAUUUGAAUGUGCACUUUCAAUUAAAUUGUACUAUGUUUGAUGAUGCAUGUGUAAAUAAGAAUGGACUAUAACCGUUUUAUAUAAUAUUAUUUUUGUUGGACAAAUAGGAAGUUGAGUAUAUGGAUACAAGUUAUUGUAUUUAAAAAAAAGUGAUAAUAUA